rnacentral:snRNA from 1 species
GGAUAUGAGGAGAGAUCUGGCUGAGACAUGUCACCCCAUUGAUCGCCGGGGUUGAUUUGGCUUAUCUGGUUGGCUCAGUGGGAUUCCCUCCUCCCUCACCACUCCAUGUGCAUCCCUCCCAAAGCUGUGCACCCGGUAGAAGAGGAUGGGCUUCCCUGAAUAGAGACGUAUUGGUCUUCAGUCAAGGGUGUAUGAGUAGCUGUGCUCCUUACUAGAGCCUCCAAACAAGCUCUCAAGUUUGGAAUAUACCUUCAUAUAUUAGGCAGGUGCUUCUUCUAAACAAAACCAACAGAUUAUAUUACUUGUAUUACUUGUCAUCCUGUU